rnacentral:rRNA from 1 species
GAGACUCUGUGCGCGUGCAUAUCAAUAAGCGGAGGAAAAGAAACUAACAAGGAUUCCCUUAGUAAUGGCGAGUGAAGCGGGAAGAGCUCAAAUUUGAAAUCUUCAAGGUUUUACCUUGACGAAUUGUAGUUUAAAGAAGUGUUUUCUGUUGAAGUUUCGGUAAAAGUUCUCUGGAAUAGGACAUCAUAGAGGGUGAGAAUCCCGUAUUUGACCAUUAUUUCAGCUGUGUGAUACACUUUCAAAGAGUCGGAUUGUUUGGGAAUGCAGUCCAAAAUGGGUGGUAAAUUUCAUCUAAAGCUAAAUAUUGGCGAGAGACCGAUAGCGAACAAGUACCGUGAGGGAAAGAUGAAAAGAACUUUGAAAAGAGAGUUAAACAGUACGUGAAAUUGUCAAAAGGGAAGCGUUUGACACCAGUGUUGUUUCCUCGAAAAUCAAUUAAAAAAGGCCGGAUUUUGUGUUGUAUUGACCUUAAAAGCUUUCUUCACUCUUUUCUUGUCUUUUUUAAUGCACUUUUCGUUUAGCAAGUCAACAUCAGUUUCUUUUGUUGUAAAAGGGUCAUUGGAAGGUGGCUUUCUUUUCGGAGGAAGUGUUUAUAGCCUUUGAUCUCUGCAACCGGAGAGACUGAGGUCUGCAGCGUAGACUCUUCGGGGUUAGAUACAUUUGUGCUAAGCUAUAGCUUUUUAUAGACAACUUGUUGACUAUGAUCAGUCAUGUAGCUUACUCGCUUAUGCUAUUUUACCUACGCUUAGGAUGUUGAACUCUAUCACACACAG